rnacentral:rRNA from 1 species
CAUACGGGUUGAAGCAUGACCGUAAGGACAUGUGGACAGUAUGGGAGUGAGAAUGUUGGCAUGAGUAGCGAGAUGUGGGUGAGAAUCCCACAGGCCGUAAACCCAAGGUUUCCAGGGGAAGGUUCGUCCGCCCUGGGUUAGUCGGGACCUAAGCUGAGGCCGAAAGGCGUAGGUGAUGGACAACAGGUUGAUAUUCCUGUACUACCGAUAACCGUUUGAGAGAAGGGAUGACACAGUAGGAUAAGCUAAGCACACUGUUGGUUAUGUGUGCCCAAGCAUUGAGGCAGUCAAAGUAGG